UGUUCUAUAAUUCAAAAUUACACUUUAGUCUAAAUGUUUAAGGACAAGUUUUAAGGCUAUAGACUUUCUUAAUCCCUCCUUUUGUCAUUUCAUAACAGCAACAUAGCUUAUACAAGUAUAAUUAGAUCACUUAGUUGAUUUGUAUUCUCAAUAAGGUGAAAUACCUCUUCUGGCGAGUCAUCAUUUGGAGGAGCAGAGUUUGAAAGAUACUGGAUUUCAGCAUGAAAGUUCAGGCAUGGAGGUACAGGGGUAGCCAAGGGUCAAUUAACCAGAUUCCUCUCUGGCUUAGGUGAAAAGCAAUGUACAGUCCAUUGUCAUCCGCUUAUGCAUGAAAUAUAUAUUCCCAGGAUAAGAUUAAGGACUAUGUGUGUCCUACACGAUCCAUCCGCACAGCAACCAUAGCCAGCAAGUAACACUUCAUCUGAACUGGACGAUGGUGAGGCAGGUAUCUUCCCUGCAUCUUGACCUGUUUUGUUGAUAACAUCUGUGUUGUCCAAAAUGUCUUUCGAGAAAUCAUCGCUAUAGGCACAACAUUGUGGGCCACUGACUAAACAAGUGCCUCCUACUUUAGCAAAGAGGUAAUCUAACACUAGCCGAUUCUGAAACGUCAUCAUUCAGGUUUCCUGUAACUUUGUUCACCAGCUUCAAAGUGUGCACAGUUGAGUAGGCAAGUUUUUCGAUGUCAUACGCAAGGGCGCAGGGUCAUCUCAGCACCCAAGUCAGGAAUAAGACCUCUCAGCAACUUGGACCACCAGGGUUGUCAUCAGCAUAUUGCAACACAGUGCUGCCACAAGGCAGAGAGAGCUGAGACAGAUCCCUUCGCAUCACUGCAUAAACUGCCAGGCUUUCCAUAUCGCGCUGCAGAAGACAAGUUCAGGUGAAUUAUUGGCUCCUGUACAUGAAGGCAAAGAGUUCCUGGAUAUCCUCAUGUGUGGGAAUGGAACAAAACAUUGAACAAAGGUCUAUGACAGCGCAACAAGCCGAAUCCAGGGGUAACAAGCAAAAUAUGACAUUGGUAUAAGAGAUGAUCUUUGCCAUGGGAAUAAUAAUCUGAUUUACGGCAUGCAAAUGCUGAACAAAAUGCUACUCAUUGUUCCUGCCCAGUUUAGGAACAGGUAAAAAUCGGAGUUUUACAGGGAGGUUUAGUAGGACGCGACACUCCCUGAGCGAGCAGAGCACCAGUAACAGGCCGAAUGCCUAUUUCAUCGUCAGGGGACAAUCUAUAUUGACGAACACAAGGGAAGACCGUGGCGGGACAGACAGUAACAUGAUUCAGCAGAGCAGAAAGCACCAACCCCACAUGAUUUUUGUGGAGACCCCACGGGGAAAAGGGGAGGGCUGCUAGGAGCAUUGGGGGAAAAUAGUCAUGAGGUGGAGGUGGCUGAUACCGGAGAAAAAGCACGGACCAAUAGGCAGACGAGUGUGUGCGUGUGAGAUGUAACCGGUCUCAUCAGAGAAUACAGUAAUCCAAAGGUUCCCACAAAGUGUCUCCUUUAGUGGUUGGAGACAGUUUCAGUACCAUCGGAAGUUCCACAGAGGGGGGUGCAGAUGAAAUAGUCGCGCCAGAGACAACUAAAACCAUAACAUGCUUCCCCUGAACAUCAGUUUCCAUCAUUGGGUCUUCAAAAGGAGAGGAAGAUAGCUGGAUCAAGGCAUCCUGUACUGAUAAUACUUCAUGGCUUCCCUGUU